CUCCAGUAGCUCUACAGUAGCUUACAACUGAAACCUAUCUAGGAGGUUUCUUUGUUUCUUAUCCAUAACCAAGAAAAUCACAAAGUGUAAAGUUUUGUGAUUUCCACGACUGAAUAACUCAUGCUAGAUGAGUCAAUUCAUCUUCCUUUUACUUUGAGAUAAUUGGAACUAAUCUGAUCCCAUAUCUGCCAUUCUUGAGAGACAAAAGGGAUUUCAUGUCAUUUUACAACUGACAUGAGUGAUACAAGAAGCCAGAAAUGGCCAAUGACCCUUUAAAUCCAAGGCCUUUGACUCUUCAGCCAAUUGCCUAAGUGACUUUCUGCCUCAUAAGAAGAAGCGGAGCCAAAAGGCAAACAUGGGCAAUGUGACCCCCUGAGCCGGAGUGUGGAAAUCUUCCUGCACUGCGCUGGUGUGCCCUGAGAGACGGUCAGAGUGUCCAGGCUCACUCUGCAGUAAGAACUCAGCAAGUCUGAAGGACAGAGCAUGAAGCUUCCCAGACAGCCAGGGAGUUCUGCUGACAGGACUAAACUCCAGGCCUUUACCUAGCAUCCCAGGCAGAAGCACCUCAUCCCCUGCGAACAUCCUGACUGGAUUUCAUGGAAUCUCAUUUGAUGCUGAUUUCUCACGGGCUCUGGAAUCCAGCCAUGGAAAGAGAGAUGCAGUCAUCCCUGCUAGCUGAGCAUGUUUGGCAGCUUUAGCAGUAAACACCGAGGAGACUGGCCUUUGCUCUGACUUGUCUCAGGCUUUCUCCUAGAAGCUGAACACAUCCAGCACUGGGGCAUUAACCAGCUCAAGACGAAGUCUGUCUCAAUUUCCACCAUCUCUAAUUGUUACAGAUUCUUUCUCUAGGUGAAUCCACAAUCUACCUUCCUCUAACAACACCUACAAUUGACCCAGCCCUGCUUCUUUAGCAACAGGAAGUAUCACCUCACCUUCUCCCACAAGAGGGAGAUAGCGCCUAAACCCAUCACUUUGGUUGUUAGUAAUUUAUUCCCUCUCAGAAUUUGUUUUCUGGGUAAGAGUGCUCCAAUCCUGAAGAUAAAGUUUCAAGUUUCAAUACU